AAGAGACGUUGCCCUUCAGGGUAUACCUCCCACCCUUUGUUUAUUAUACCUUUGUUGCUUUGGCGGGCCCGUCCUCGGACCACCGGCUUCUGCUGGUCAGUGCCCGCCAGAGGACCUAAAACUCUGUUUGUUAAUAUUGUCUGAGUACUAUAUAAUAGUUA
rnacentral:misc_RNA from 1 species